AUGUGCUACUACUAUCCCGAUGCAGCGAAGCUAGGUGGUGCUAUUAUGGCGGGGGAAGGGUCUACUUCUGCUCCAUCGGAAUGCUUUUGGUGGCAGGUCUUUCUAUUACCGAUAUGGACCUCAGGGUCUCAUUCUGUACCUAGAUCACCUACUCACUACUGCGCUGCGACAAGGACUGGAACUGCCUCCGCGUUUGGACCUUUGAUUAAUUAA